rnacentral:tRNA from 1 species
GGGCCUGUAGCUCAGUUGGCCAGAGCGCUUGCAUGGCAUGCAAGAGGUCAGGGGUUCAAGCCCCCUCAGGUCCA